GAUGAACGCUGGCGGCGUGCCUAAUACAUGCAAGUCGAGCGAACGGACGAGAAGCUUGCUUCUCUGAUGUUAGCGGCGGACGGGUGAGUAACACGUGGAUAACCUACCUAUAAGACUGGGAUAACUUCGGGAAACCGGAUCUAAUACCGGAUGAUAUUUUGAACCGCAUGGUUCAAAAGUGAAAGACGGUCUUGCUGUCACUUAUAGAUGGAUCCGCGCUGCAUUAGCUAGUUGGUAAGGUAACGGCUUACCAAGGCAACGAUGCAUAGCCGACCUGAGAGGGUGAUCGGCCACACUGGAACUGAGACACGGUCCAGACUCCUACGGGAGGCAGCAGUAGGGAAUCUUCCGCAAUGGGCGAAAGCCUGACGGAGCAACGCCGCGUGAGUGAUGAAGGUCUUCGGAUCGUAAAACUCUGUUAUUAGGGAAGAACAUAUGUGUAAGUAACUGUGCACAUCUUGACGGUACCUAAUCAGAAAGCCACGGCUAACUACG
rnacentral:rRNA from 1 species